GUCUAUGGCCAUAUCACCCUGAAUGUACCUAAUCUCAGAAGUUAAGCAGGGUUGAGCCUAGUUAGUAGUUGGAUGGGUGACUCAGACUGAGAUGUGAAGUGUUCUGUUUC
rnacentral:rRNA from 1 species